CACGCAGUAAACGAUGAAUACCAGUUCUCCGCCGCGAUCGAGCGGAGGGGGACACAGCGAAAGCGUUAAGUAUUCCACCUGGGGAGUACGCCGGCAACGGUGAAACUCAAAGGAAUUGACGGGGGCCCGCACAAGCGGAGGAACAUGUGGUUUAAUUCGAUGAUACGCGAGGAACCUUACCCGGGCUCGAACGGUGCAGGAAUACAGGAGAGAUUCUGUAGCAUAGCAAUAUGUCUGCAUCGAGGUGC
rnacentral:rRNA from 1 species